UACAGAGGUCUCAAGCGUUGUUCGGAUUCAUUGGGCGUAAAGGGUGUGUAGGUGGCGCCGUAAGUCGGGUGUGAAAUCUCGGAGCUUAACUCCGAAACUGCAUUCGAUACUGCCGUGCUUGAGGACUGGAGAGGAGACUGGAAUUUACGGUGUAGCGGUGAAAUGCGUAGAUAUCGGGAGGAACACCAGUGGCGAAGGCGACUUCCUGGCCUGUUCUUGACGCUGAGGCGGCGAAAGCUAGGGGAGCAAACGGGG
rnacentral:rRNA from 1 species